rnacentral:lncRNA from 10 species
UUACACAUAUUUGGAAGAACACAUUAUUUCAGAAUUUUGUGAAGCUGUACGGAUGGUCUCCAGUACAACAUUGAAAAGAAGUGGUGAGAGAGCUAACAUCCUUGCCUUGUUCCUGAGUUUAUAAAGAGUUUCUAGAUGCAAACACACACACACACAAAAGUGUGCUUCCAGAAGAUGCUGCUGGGAAGGCCACUGCAUCCCUAGGGAGCCAAAUCAAAGCAUUUUGUCCUAAUGUGUCCGGAAUUGGUGGGUUCUUGGUCUCACUGACUUCAAGAAUGAAGCCGUGGACCCUCGCGGAAAGAUAGAAUAGAAGCUACAAGAUCUGCAGUUAUGCUUCCUCUUACCCAAUUUACAGAUAAUAUAUGUUUGUGGCUGUGAUACACAGAAAAAUGGCAUCCAAGGAAAGUCCACCUCCUAAUCCUCAGAAGCUGUGAAUAUGUUACUUUAUAUGGCAAAAUGGACUCUGCAGAUGAGAUUAAGUUUCUGCCUGCCUGACAAUCACUCUGCUGAUGGCAACCAAAUAUUGUCUUCUUCCUGGAGUCUCAGGGAAAAUGUGGCCUGGGGCAGACCCUAGUUCUUCAGAUGGAAGGUGAAACUUCAAUACAUCACCGCAACAGGAAACAAUCUCAAGAAUUUGUAUUUACACAUCCUGGACAAAGAAAGUGUAAAUAAGUCUGGAAUGCAGUCAUCAGUUCCCAGGUCCUGGAAGGCAGGAGUCUGGAGUCAGGCAGAAAGAGAAAGCAGGCACAGUGACAACCAGCAGUACACUUAAGGAUUAGAGUGCAGAUUUUUCUAAGCUCCCAGGCCAAUGCCUGAAUACCUUUAAAGAAAGCAAUAGGAAAACAGAAGCCCAGUCUGCUAGGUGGAAAAGAUGCUUUUAUGAUCCUGCCUCUGGCCCCGGGCUUGAGCCAUUGGGGUAGAACUGGAAACUGUGUCAAGGGUGACUGAUUCCUGCUUCUAGUAUGAAAAAAUUAAACUUGCAUUUGAAACGGAUGCUGAAGCAACAUAAAAUUUUAAGAAUUCACUCAAUGUUAUAUUAGUCAAAACUCAAGAGGAAUAAUAACAAGGUGACUUUAGAGAAAAAUAAGGACAGAACAAUAAUUCUAAUUGGAGAGAAGGAAGAGGAGAGAAGGAGCCAAGUCUAUCUGCCCUCAUGUAGCUCCUCACAGAGCAAAGAACCAGAAAGACCGCCUGAAUUCUCUACUCUCAAAGGGAAGUAGAGUGUUCAAUUUAGACUUUGCUUCUAUCAGCUUUGUAUUAGCCUGUUCUCAUGCUUCUAAUAAAGGCAUACCUGAGACUGAGUAAUUUAUAAAGGAAAGAAGUUUAAUUGACUCACAGUUCCACAUGGCUGGGGAAGCCUCACAAUCAUGGUGGAAGAGCAAGGGACGUCUUACAUGGCAGCAAAAAAGAGAGAAUGAGAGCCAAGUGAAAGUGGAAACCCCUUAUAAAACCAUCAGAUCUUGUGAGACUUAUUCACUACCACGAGAACAGUAUGGGGGAAACCACCCCAUGAUUCAGUUAUCUCCACCUAGGUCUCUUCCACAACAUGUGGAAAUUAUGAGAGCUACAAUUCAAGAUGAGAUUUGGGUGAGAACACAGCCAAAUAAUAUCAAGCUUUCAUGAUUACAGUUUUACUGUGAAUUUCAUUGAUGCAGUUGUCUUUUCUGUCUCAAACUAAUUUAGCAAUUUCAAUUUAUAUUUAAGAUACUGUGGGCAAAAUAAGACCAACAAAACCUAAAUAAAUGAAUUAAAGGCAA